AAAAUUCUAUUUAAAAAAAUUUACAUAUAAAUAAAUUUUUUAUGGUUUUAAUAAUUUAUUUAAAAUUUAUUUUACAUAUAAAUUUUAGUGUUAAUUUUACUUUAUUUUAAUAAUAAUUUAAUUUAUUUGUAGUAAUUAAUAUUAAAUAAUUUAAGAAAUUAAGAUUUAGUAAUAUUUGAAUUAAUAACAAAUUUUGUGCCAGCAGUUGCGGUUAAACAAAAGUUAAUUUAAAUUUUAUUAGUAAUUAAUAAAUAAUUGAAAAUUUAUAAUAAUUUUAUUAUAAAUUAAAAUAAUAUAAAUUUUAAAUUAUUAGGUGAAAUUUUAAUUUAAUUUAAUAUUAUAAUGUAUUUAUGAUUUAAUAAAUUUUAUAAAAAACUAGGAUUAGAUACCCUAUUAUUAAAAUUUAAAUUGAAAAUACUAAAAUAGUAGGUAAUUAUUUAUUGAAACUUAAAUAAUUUGGCGGUAUUUUAGUUCAUUUAGAGGAAUCUGUUUAUUAAUUGAUAAUCCACGAAUAAAUUUACUUAAUUUUUUUAUUUUGUAUAUCGUUGUUAAAAAAAUAUUUUUUAAUAAUAAUAAUAUUUAAAAAUUUAAAUUGAAAAUUAAAUCAGAUCAAGAUGCAGAUUAUAAUUAAGAAUAUAAUGGAUUACAAUAAAUUUAUUUAAAUGGAUAUUAAUUUGUAAAAAUUAAUUAAAGGUGGAUUUAAAUGUAAUUUUAUUUAGUUUAAUAAAAUGAUUGAAAAUUGAAAUAUGUACAUAUUGCCCGUCGCUUUCAUAUAUUAAAAAUUGGAAUAAGUCGUAACAAAGUAGAGGUACUGGAAAGUGUUUCUAGAAAGAA
rnacentral:ncRNA from 1 species